UACGGAGGGUGCUAGCGUUGUUCGGAAUUACUGGGCGUAAAGGGCUCGUAGGUGGCCAACUAAGUCAGACGUGAAAUCCCUCAGCUUAACUGGGGAACUGCGUCUGAUACUGGAUGGCUUGAGUUUGGGAGAGGGAUGCGGAAUUCCGAGGUGUAGCGGUGAAAUGCGUAGAUAUCUGGAGGAACACCGGUGGCGAAGGCGGCAUCCUGGACCAACACUGACACUGAGGAGCGAAAGCCAGGGGAGCAAACGGG
rnacentral:rRNA from 1 species